AGCUUGACUGCAAGACCUACAAGUCGAGCAGGGGCGAAAGCCGGCCUUAGUGAUCCGACGGUGCCGCGUGGAAGGGCCGUCGCUCAACGGAUAAAAGUUACUCUAGGGAUAACAGGCUGAUCUUCCCCAAGAGUUCACAUCGACGGGAAGGUUUGGCACCUCGAUGUCGGCUCAUCACAUCCUCGGUCUGUAGUAGGUCCGAAGGGUUGGGCUGUUCGCCCAUUAAAGUGGUACGUGAGCUGGGUUCAAAACGUCGUGAGACAGUUUGGUCCAUAUCCGGUGUAGGCGUUAGAGCAUUGAGAGUAGCCUUUCAUAGUACGAGAGGACCUGAAAGGACAUGCCAAUUGUGUACCAGUUCUCAUUCCAAUGGGAAACGCUGGGUAGCUACGCAUGGAUAGAUAACUGCUGAAAGCAUCUAAGUAGGAAGCUAAACUCAAGAUGAGUGCUCUCUAAGGCCGCGGCUAGACAAGCCGUUAUAUAGGUAUCAGGUGUACAGUCAGCAAUGGCUUUAGCCGAGAUAUACUAAAGGCCGUUUGAUUUUGACCUU
rnacentral:rRNA from 1 species